rnacentral:rRNA from 1 species
AGUGAACGCUGGCGGUAGGCCUAACACAUGCAAGUCGAACGGCAGCACAGUAAGAGCUUGCUCUUACGGGUGGCGAGUGGCGGACGGGUGAGGAAUACAUCGGAAUCUACUUUUUCGUGGGGGAUAACGUAGGGAAACUUACGCUAAUACCGCAUACGACCUACGGGUGAAAGCAGGGGAUCUUCGGACCUUGCGCGAUUGAAUGAGCCGAUGUCGGAUUAGCUAGUUGGCGGGGUAAAGGCCCACCAAGGCGACGAUCCGUAGCUGGUCUGAGAGGAUGAUCAGCCACACUGGAACUGAGACACGGUCCAGACUCCUACGGGAGGCAGCAGUGGGGAAUAUUGGACAAUGGGCGCAAGCCUGAUCCAGCCAUACCGCGUGGGUGAAGAGGGCCUUCGGGUUGUAAAGCCCCUUUGUUGGGAAAGAAAAGCAGCAGGUUAAUACCCCGCUGUUCUGACGGUACCCAAAGAAUAAGCACCGGCUAACUUCGUG